rnacentral:rRNA from 1 species
UACGUAUGUCACAAGCGUUAUCCGGAUUUAUUGGGCGUAAAGCGCGUCUAGGUGGUUAUGUAAGUCUGAUGUGAAAAUGCAGGGCUCAACUCUGUAUUGCGUUGGAAACUGUGUAACUAGAGUACUGGAGAGGUAAGCGGAACUACAAGUGUAGAGGUGAAAUUCGUAGAUAUUUGUAGGAAUGCCGAUGGGGAAGCCAGCUUACUGGACAGAUACUGACGCUAAAGCGCGAAAGCGUGGGUAGCAAACAGG